CAGCCGUAAACUAUGCGCGUUAGGUGUAUCGGUGACCACGAGUUACCGAGGUGCCGAAGGGAAACCGUGAAACGUGCCGCCUGGGAAGUACGGUCGCAAGGCUGAAACUUAAAGGAAUUGGCGGGGGAACACCACAACAGGUGGAGCCUGCGGUUUAAUUGGACUCAACGCCGGGAAGCUCACCAGGGAAGACUGUUACAUGAAAGCCGAGAUGAAGACUCUGCUAGAUUUUCAGAGAGGAGGUGCAUGGCGUCAGUGACU
rnacentral:rRNA from 1 species